GGGUGGCUGGCUCGGUGGUUAAGAGCACUGACUGCACUGCCUGCUCUUCCAGAGGACCUGGGUUCAAAUCCCAGCACCCA
rnacentral:tRNA from 1 species